rnacentral:lncRNA from 1 species
AGGAGACAGGAUUGUGGAUAUGGAGGUUAGAGGAAAGGAAGAAGGGAAGGAUGACUCCAGGUUUCCUGCACAAACCAUGGUCCCCCCUGUUCCCUACAGGAGGAAGAGUUGGAAGAAGAAGAGCGAUAGAUAGAGAGAGGAGACAACAAGGUCCCUCUGGGACAGGCUGAAUUCCAGAUGUCUGUGGGACACUAGGCCAUUGGCUAUGGUGGUCUGAGACCCUAAACAGGGGCCUGGGAUAGGGUUUUAGUCUGGUCACCAUGUACACACGGAGGCAGGGUAUAGAGUGAGAAGAUGGGAUGAUUGAAAGGCCUGGGACACGAGCCAGGGAAACGCAGGAUAGAAAUGACUGGCAGAGGCUGGGCACGGUGGCUUACGCCUGUAAUCCCCACACUUUGGGAGGCCGAGGUGGGUGGAUCACUUGAGGCCAGGAGUUCAAGACCAGGCUGGCCAACGUGGAGAAACCCCAUCUCUACUAAAAUACAAAAAAUUAGCGGGUCAUGGUGGCAUGCACCUGUAAUCCCAGCUACUCAGGAGGCUGAGGCAAGAGAAUCUCUUGAAUCCUGGAGGCAGAGCUUGCAGUGAGCUGAUAUCACGACACUGCACUCCAACCUGAGCGACAGACCAAGACUCUGUCUCAAAAGAAAAAAAAAAAAAAGAGGUGACUGACAGAGAAUGACCCCAGCAAAGGACCAGAGAAGGAGCAGUCCACGGAGGACCACUUGGAGAGGGUGGGUGGGGGGAAACCCAGCUCACAGGAGAAGGUGUGGCCGAUGGUGUGGCAUGCUGCUGAAAGGCCAGGUAGGUGAGAACAGUGGUGAGCACUGUUUCAGUGGUGGUGGUGGCGGAGGGAGAGUGACAAAAAGCAUUUGGUUCUGAGCCUGGGAGUAGCAGGCUGGGGGAGGAGCCUAAGGCUAGGCCGGCUCUCAGGAGCAGUGUGGGCCCCAAAUAUCCUCUUCUGUGAUCUUUUUACCUUUUGGCAAAGUGUUAUUUAAAUGUAUUUAAAUCUUUUAAGGAAAUAUUUCUAAUUUUGUGCCAAAAUAAAGCACUGUAAAUCCUAGCCACUGUUCCUUUGCUUCCCCAGGGGCCGCAGUGACUGUGUCCAGUCCUUCCUCACCCCGCUGCAGAGUCAGUCCAGGAGGCCUUUACCCACAGCACUGCCACCUCCCUCCACGACCCCUGUCUUUCUCUUCCCCAGAUUAAACGCUCCCACUUCUCUCCAUUCUUCUUUCUCCACCCCCAGGCCCAUUUCUGCCUCGGUUGCCUGCCUCCAACCACAAUCCAGUUUUUUGGCUCCCAGAGACAGACAUGCCCAGAUCUGAACACCACCCACCUGGAUAAAGAAAAUGGGUACGGCCAAGACCAUAGACCUAGUGAUUGUCAGAUGAACAAUUAGACCCACAGAACCAUCCAAGCUACAGAGGACGCAUUCUGCCUUCCCUUGGAUCCUGUGGUUUGAGGAUGGAGGUCUAGGACCGUGGCAGGCUUUUUGUCCCAUGAGGGAAGGCCAUGGAGCUGAGGAAGGGGAAGAACACACACACCUAAUGGAAUCUCGAGAGAAAGUUCAGACAUCAAAAGACAGAAGCGACAGAGACCCAGGUCUGUGGGGACGCUGUAUGGCUGAGUCAAGUCUUGAUCAAAGUCAGCAUUAUAUCUGGACUUGCACAGUUUCUGAGCCUUGAAACUCCAUUUCGUUUAAGUGAGCUUUUAACUGUCACAGGCAGCUGCAUGCACACACAAGUCCAUGUGAUUAGAUGUUUCCAAGAGUCUGGAAUAACAUACCCCAAACUGUUAAUAGUGGUUACCCUAUAGAAGGGGAGUAGGAAGGUGUGUGUUGGGGUGGAGGAUGGUUUGCCAACUGGAAACUCACUCCAGGCUAACAUUUAUUGCUAGGCACCAUUCUAAACUUUGCCAGUAAUCCUCUCCCUAGAGGCUGAGGAAGACCACUUCUUCAAGCCCUAUUUAAUAGACAGCGUGGCCAGGCAUGGUUGCUCACGCCUGUAAUCCCACCACUUUGGGAGGCCGAGGCAGGUGGAUCACCUGAGGUCAGGAGUUCGAGACCAGCCUGGCCAACGUGGUAAAACCUCUUCUCUACUAAAAAUACAAAAAAAAUUAGCUGGGCUUGGUGGCGGGCACCUGUAGUCCCAGCUACACGGGAGGCUGAGGCAGGAGAAUUGCUUGAAUCCAGG